rnacentral:rRNA from 1 species
AGUGAACGCUGGCGGUAGGCCUAACACAUGCAAGUCGAACGGCAGCACCGUACGAGCUUGCUCUUACGGGUGGCGAGUGGCGGACGGGAGAGGAAUAUAUCGGAAUCUACUUUUUCGUGGGGGUUAACGUAGGGAAACUUACGCUCAUACCGCAUACGACGUAGGGGUGAAGGCAGGGGAUCUUCGGACCUUGCGCGAUUGAACUAGCCGAUGUCGGAGUAGCUAGUUGGCGGGGUAAUUGCCCACCAAGGCGACGAUCCGUAGCUCGUCUGGGAGGAUGAUCAGCCACACUGGAACGGGGACACGGUCCAGACUCCUACGGGAGGCAGCAGUGUGGAAUAGUGGACAGUGGGCGCAAGCCUGGUCCAGCCAUACCGCGCGUGAGAAGAAGGCCCUCGGGUUGUAAAGACCUUUUGUUGGGAAUGAAAAGCAGCCGGUUAAUACGCCGCUGUUCUGACGGUACCCAAAGAAUAAGCACCGGCUAACUUCGUG